UACGUAGGGUGCGAGCGUUGUCCGGAAUUAUUGGGCGUAAAGAGCUCGUAGGCGGUUUGUCGCGUCUGCUGUGAAAACGCGGGGCUCAACUCCGCGCCUGCAGUGGGUACGGGCAGACUAGAGUGCAGUAGGGGAGACUGGAAUUCCUGGUGUAGCGGUGGAAUGCGCAGAUAUCAGGAGGAACACCGGUGGCGAAGGCGGGUCUCUGGGCUGUAACUGACGCUGAGGAGCGAAAGCGUGGGUAGCGAACAGG
rnacentral:rRNA from 1 species